rnacentral:rRNA from 1 species
UGGGGAAUUUUGCGCAAUGGACGAAAGUCUGACGCAGCAACGCCGCGUGGGUGAUGAAGGUCUUCGGACUGUAAAACCCUGUCGUCAGGGACGAAGGUGUGCAUGUUAAUAGCGUGUGCACUUGACGGUACCUGGAGAGGAAGCCCCGGCUAACUCUGUGCCAGCAGCCGCGGUAAUACAGAGGGGGCAAGCGUUGUCCGGAAUUAUUGGGCGUAAAGAGCUCGUAGGUGGUUCGUCACGUCGGAUGUGAAAAUCUGGGGCUUAACCCCAGACCUGCAUUCGAUACGGGCGAGCUAGAGUGUGGUAGGGGAGACUGGAAUUCCUGGUGUAGCGGUGGAAUGCGCAGAUAUCAGGAGGAACACCAGCAGCGAAGGCGGUGAUCUGGGCCAAUACUGACGCUGAGGAGCGAAAGCGUGGGGAGCGAACAGG